rnacentral:rRNA from 1 species
UACGGAGGGUGCAAGCGUUGUUCGGAAUUAUUGGGCGUAAAGCGCGCGCAGGCGGUCUGCCAAGUCUAUGGGUGAAAUGCCGGGGCUCAACUCCGUGCGUGCCCAAGAUACUGGUGGACUGGAGACACGUAGAGGCUGGCGGAAUUCCGGGUGUAGCGGUGGAAUGCGUAGAGAUCCGGAAGAACACCGGAGGCGAAGGCGGCCAGCUGGGCGUGGUCUGACGCUGAGGCGCGAAAGCGUGGGGAGCGAACAGG